UAAUCUCCGUUUUUACUUAAAUAGGCUAUUUGGAUACCAACAGAUACUCAUCAAUUCUGUGGAAGAAAUUCAAGUGGCUUUACUUAUUAUUCCGGAAGCAACGAAGUUAUUGUUUCCUUUUAUGGUAGCUCUAAACCUCAUGGGAAGGGGUUUCGGUUAGAAUUUUCUACGACAGGUUGUAGUCGUAAUUACACUAACUCUCAAGGUCGAAUAAAAUAUGAUCGUUACAAACCUGAAAACUGUCUCAUGCUUAUUUCUACUCCCGAGAAUACAACUAUUUCGCUGUAUUUCAUGAAAUUUUCAAUUUAUGACACGCCAACCUGUUCAGAAAAUUUUCUUUUGAUAUAUGAUGGAAAUUCUACUAGUAGUCAUGAAUUAGCGCGGCUAUGUCGAUAUACAGUUCCAAAUCCUAUAUUUUCAUCUGGAAACCAGUUACUUCUACAUUUAGUUGUAAAUCAACAAAUAGCUAUGUUCUUCGAUCUUCUUUAUGUUUCCUCUUCUGGAGGUACUAUUAGUAUUUGAUAAUUGUGAAUGACUUACAUCAGACAAAGUGAAGCUGGCACAUGAAAGAAUGGCUACGAUCAUUCGCCCUCUGUUGGAACCAUAUGAAACAGCCAUUGCUGUGGAUCUCCCAAACAUAUGAAUACUAUUUCUCUGUCAACAUCCUUACCUUGGAUUUAUUAGCAAAAUUUUUUACUAAUUUCUUUUUCGAUACAUAUGCUC